rnacentral:lncRNA from 1 species
AAGAAACCUCCAAACUAAUCCUAUCCUUAGCCGGCCUCUUCACCUCUUUAAUAAGGGUCGGCUAGGUAGGUUUUACAUGAAUGCCCCUUUCAAUUAAGACUCUCCUAGCUAGAGUCCUAAUAGAUCCGCCCUCUUCAAAUCAGCCUUGUCUUCGAGGUUGACGAUCCAUGAAUUCUGGGAAUUUGAUCUUCAUCAUAUUUCUCCUAAGUGGCAUCUUCUGUCGGUAGGUUCACCCACUGUAUUAGCACUUCAGUAGUAGGUCAUCGUCGUCGAGUCACGAUCCGUCGAUCAAUAAUGGCACUCGGCUGGGUUUGGAGUUCUCCUUAGGUAGUCAUAUUUGGUAGAUGGCUUUGGGUUGUCUCGUUUUGUCCCAGCUUGAGCUUUAAACACGACACAUGAAAGACUGGAAAGAUUCGGGAGUUGGCAAGUAAGUUCAAUCUGUACGCUACCGCUCCAAUGCGCUCCAAAAUUUGGUAAGGUCCAUAGAACCGAGGUGAAAGAUUCAUAGAUGCUCUUAGUCUGGAUUGAUGUUUGCUUGUAUGGCUGGAGCCGUAGGAAGACCCAAUCUCCUACUGAAAAUUCUCUUUCGCCUUUGUGUUGAUCAUAUUGUUGUUUUAUUCUUGCUUAAGCUGCAGUGAGAUUAUCUUUUAACAACUUCAACAUUUUGUCUCUGUCCUGUAGUUCCCUAGUUCCCUAUCUACUUGUUCUACUUUAGAGGUGUCGACCAUACAUAGCCUUAUAGGGAGUACAUUUUGUGGAUGAAUGAUAAGUUGUAUUAUACCACCACUUGGUCUAGGGAAGCCACUUUGUCCACUUUUUGGCUAGUCACUGGUGAAGCAUCUGAGGUAUGUCUCCAAGCACCUAUUCACCACUUCAGUCUGGCCAUCGGUUUGUGGGUGAUACGCCGUACUCAUUUUCAAUUUAGUGCCCUGCAUCUGGAUUAACUCUAUCCAAAAUCUGCUCGUGAAGACCCUAUCACGAUCACUUACAAUAGAUCUCGGCUUCCCAUGCAAUUUUACAAUAUUCUCCAUAAAGAUUCGAGCCAUACUAGAAGUAGUGUAGGGAGUACAAACAAUGCAAAAGUGAGCAUACUUUGUAAGGCGAUUCAUCACGACAAAAAUUGUACCUUUUUUCCUUGUGAUAAGGGAAGCCCUUCGAUAAAGUCUAUUGAUAUAUCAGUCCAUAUUGAGUCCGAGACGGGUAAAGGUUACAGCUUUCCGAGCCACGCCUCGCGGCUAGUCCAAUGCCCGAGUCGCAUCUCGGCCAGUCUAACGCCCGAGCCACGCCUCGCGGCUAGUCCAAUGCCCGAGUCGCAUCUUGGCCAAAUCCAAUGCCCGAGCCAUGCCUCGCGGCCAGUCUAAUGCCCGAGUCGCAUCUCAGCCAGUCCAAUGCCUAAGGCAUGCCUCGCGGCCAAUCUAAUGCCCGAGUCGCAUCUCGGCCAAAUCCAACGCCCGAGCCACGCUUCGGUGCUAGUCAAAUGCCCAAGCCACGCCUUGUGGCCAGUCCAAUGUCCGAAUUACAUCUCGGCAAGUCCAUCUCCUGAAUAGAAGCUCAUGAUCAACCGACGAUCGAACCACCACUCCCAACACGACAACCAACCCAACCAACAAAAGGCACCAAGCCAUACCCCGAGCCCCCCACACGGAACCCGGGGCACGCCUCUUUGGGGGGGGGGAGAGAGAAUGAUAUGGUAUAUUUUGGCAUCGCCCACGUGGACCCAAGCAAGCAGACACGACAAUGCAGACAUGAAACCUCAAGUACGAUGUGGCACGCAACACACACGUGGCGGGCAACCACUUGCCGCCCCCUCCAUAUGAACGACAUCAUCACAAUAUAGCCACCCCGGAAAGCUCGGGACGAUGCCGAGCGACGCCGAUCCGUGCAGGUCGGUCGACGCCGAGCGACGCCGAUCCGUGCAGGUCGAUCGACGCUCGUACAAAAACUUAAGUCGGCUGCCCGACGAGCCGGCCGCAGUAAAUUGACCCCGUACGACCAACUCAUCCUCGCAGGUAUAAAAGCUAACCCUCCCUAAUCAAGAAGGGGAGGCACUUCGAACACUGAACUCUCUCUCAUUCCACCAAAAGCUAACUUAAGUUUCAAAGGGGUCGAGUCGAGAAAUCCCCCUCCGGACCUUGACCUAUGUGCAGGAGCUUAGCGACGAAGAAGCAUGCCACUUGCCAAGAGAGAAGACCGCGCUCAGGGGACGAGGCUCGAACCCGACCCGACCCGACCCGACACUCGCCCUCACCACCCGAGCAUCCGCGUGGGCGACCUUGUGCAUCCGAGACCGGACCGAGCCAUGCUAACACCUCGACCACGGCGUAAAGGUUCACCAACAAUCAGGUAGCCGCGAAAGCGCAUCUGCAACAACAUUCUCUUUCCCCUUUUUGUAAGUUAUUUCAUAAUCAUAUCCAAGAAGCUUUGUUAUCCAUUUUUGCUGCUAUGGGGCAGAUAUCUUCUGCUCUAAGAAAUAUUUUAGGCUUUUAUGGUCGAUCUUGAUUUGAAAGCGUCGCCCGAUCAAGUACGGUCUCCAUUUGGUCAUUGCAUGCACAAUCGCGUGCAUCUCCUUGUCGUAAAUAGUCAUCCUGAGAUGGGAAGGAGAUCAUGCCUUACUGGUAUAAGCGAGGGGGCAGCUAUCUUGCAUUAGUACAACACCAAUUCCGACUCCGGAGGCAUCGGCUUCAAUAACAAAAGUCUUGCCGAAGUUGGUUAGCGCUAGUACGGGCGUUGUCGUCAUUGCAGCUUUAAGUUCGUCGAAGGCGGUGGUGACUUUGUCCGACCAUUGGAAAGCAUUUUUUUUCAGCAAGGAAGUAAGGGGUGCACUGAUCUUUCCAUAGUUUUUCACGAACUUGUGGUAGUAGUCUGUUAAACCGAGAAAGCCACGUAGCGAUUUUAUGUUCCUCGGAGUCGAUCAGUUCUGCAUUGCUUCAAUUUUAGAGGGGUCCACCGCCACACCUUCCUUUGAUAUGAUAUGCCCAAGAUAUUCCACCUUCUUGUCACGGACUUAGCUGGUUUUGCUGAAGUCGUGAGGCACCCUUGCGUGUCCGUCCGCAAAGGUCAGCCUCCCCGAAGCCUCCCAUGGUCCCUUAGGACCCACAAAAGAGAAAACGGGUUAGAAAAAACGCCUUACUCGGGAUCCACAAGCAAAUAUUUCCGAAAACACUUCAUAGACAAUGCAAAUUACAAAUAGACUUUACAAGCUCUGAACAGUUACACAACAAAGGGUCAAAAUGAUCCAUUACAGACCGAAAAUCUCUCACAAGUGUCCACAUGACACAACCUUUAUUUACAAGCCUAAAACGACCACCAAACCUAACUAAAAUGAGACUAUUAAGCCUUCAGUCGUCCCUCUACAUGCUGUGCAAAGCAUGAACAUACCAAAAGACACGGACAUACAUAAGCAUUACAUCAAACAUCCUGUUUAGAAGUUUGUUCGUGACAUUCUGUUGAAGAAAGCUGCACUUCAAUUUUUUCACAAAAAGAACAUGUUCUCGCAAAAUCGUAAAAACAAGUCGUAAGUGUUGAAAAUGACUUUCAAGAGAAGGACUGUAAAUAAGGAUAUCGUCGAAGAAAACCAGCACAAACUUACAAAGAUAAUCCCGGAAAAUAUCAUUCAUAAGGCUCUGGAGGGUAGAGGGAGCAUUGGUGAGACCAAAGAGCAUUAUAAAAAAUUCGUAGUGGUCGUUGUGUGUUUGAAAGGCGAUUUUCGGUAUGUCUUCUUCGCACACUCGUAUUUGAUGAUACCCGGAUCGAAGGUCCAGCUUUGUGAAGACUCGUGGUCCCUUUAAUUCAUCAAGCAAUUCAUCUACUACUGGAAUAAGGUAUUUGUCCUUGAAGGUUAUGCCGUUGAGAGCUCGGUAAUCAACGGACAUUCGUCAUGUUCCGUCCUUCUUUCGUACGAGGAGUAUCGGUGAAGAGUAGGGGCUGUAACUUGGCCGAAUAACUCCUGUUUCGAGCAUCUCUUUUACAAUCCUUUCUAUUUCAUCCUUCUGGAGAUGUGGAUACUGAUAUGGCCGAGUAUUUGCUGGAGGUUUGCCCGGAAGAAUCGAUAUACAAUGAUCAUGCCGACGGGUAGGAGGUAGGUUGUGUGGUUCGUCAAAUAUAUCUGAAAAUUGAGCAAGCAAAGGAAGUAGGUUUGGAUCUUCAAAUUCUAUUGACUCUCCCUUAGUUUGCUGCUCAAGUUGUACCAAAAAGCCGCUGCAUGCUUUGUGCAAAACCUUCUCCAUUCGUUGUGUGCAAAUCGUCGUUACGUCGCCCCCACGUUUCUCGUGCAAUAUCACAUGUUUCCCCUUACUGUAAAAUUUCAUAAUUAGUUUCACAAAGUUCUAGGAAACAUCACCUAAUGUCGUCAGCCAUUCGAUGCAGAGCAUGGCCUCAUAAUCAUCAAGAGGGAGGAGGAAGAAAUCUGCAGUUAUCUCUUGCUCCUAUAGCAAUAGUUUCACCCGCGGGCACCUAUGAUCACACUUCAAAAUUCGUCCGUCGGCGACCUUAACGUUAAACCUACUACAAUUCUCGAUAGGUAAGGCCAUCCGGACAGCAACUUUACUGUUCAUAAAAUUAUUAGUGCUCCCGGUGUCAAUAAGAACGAUGACAGGUUGUUGCUUCAGAAGUCCACCCAUUUUCAUCAUUUGCAGGUUCGCGUAACCGGCAAGGGCAUGCUUCGUAAUAUCAACCGGUUGCUGUUUUUCAUUCGCGACCUCUUCCUCCAUGUCUUCAAGAGGUUUAAUCAGUAGGAGGCGGCCCCUUUUGCAGCAAUGAUCGUGGUUCCACGGCUCGUCGCAAUGCCAACAAAGAUCCUUUCUGAUCGGUCACGUAGUUCUUCUCUUGUCAAUUUUUUUGGCAACGAAUGACGACUGGUGGCAGAAGGAGGUUGAUAUGUCACGGGCAGGAGAGGUUCUCAUCCUCCGAGCAUCUUAGUUGAGUCAUUCUUCUUGUAUUCGGGCGAAAGAAAUCGCAGCUGUCACGGUACGGGGUUGUCGUGCCUUAACCUCCCCUUUUAUCUCUAGCUUGAGUCCUUCGAUGAAUGUUCCUAACAAUUGACAGCCAGUCCAAUCAUAAGCAAGGUAGGAUAGCUUCUCAAACCUGGUUUGGUACUCUUGAAUCGUAGAGGUGUGUCAAAUCUUUGCGAGUUAGCCAUCGAUAUUUUCAUACUCCGUAGGUCCGAAACGAUUCAGCAGUGUGUUCUUAAAUUGAUUCCACGUCAGAGCCCCAUGGAGGAGGAGGUCCAGGAACAUGUGUUCUUAAAUUGAUUCUGUUGACGGGUUAAUGGCAUGGGGUGGUGGAAGGUUCGAAAAAAUUGAGGAUCACGGAAAGGUACUAUAGUAGGUUUUUACGUCUAAAGUGUAGUAGUUUAGACGUAAAAGGUCAGUGGUUUAUAUUGAGAAUUUUUUGACGAAACCAAAGGGAAAUCCGCUAUUAUGAAGUGUCAAGGCUAUCGUAAAAAUUUCGUAGAGAUUUGGACCGAAAAAACACAGUAGCAAGAUCAAACAAACUGUGCUAUACGGCUAGAAUUCUGCAGUGCAUCUUUCGUCAUAGAGAUGAAAACUUUACGACGAAAAGUUUAUGUAGCAAUAUAGGAACAAUUUUUUUGGAUUUUUGAAUAAGGAUAACUAAAUUGCAACAAUAGUAAGGUAGAAAACCAGAACCUGUUGCAAUUCACGGGGAGAUCAAAGGAUGAUUCGCGGUGGUGGAGAUGAUGGUGGAAUUCGGCGACGAUCUUUUAAGCAAUUGUGGGAAUUGCUUUGGGCGAUUGUGGAGGGCUGAUGGAUAGUUGUGGAAGGGCAACGAGACGCCAAGAACGCUGCUCUAAUACCAAGUUUUAGAACCCUUACGGAUUCUAAGCUUAGGGUUGAUCUCUUUAGGGGAUCGGCCUCCUUGGAACUCUAUAGGGGUUCCUUCCUCUAGGUUGCUGCUCAAAGGCUACUAAAAAGAUUCAUCUAUUCCUUGCAAAAGAGGAUGAAUACAUGACUAUUUAUAGGGCUUCUAAACCCCAACUCCUAAUAGGACUCCUACUCAAGAAUCCUACUUCUAACCAACUCCUAAUAGGACUCCUACUCAAGACUCCUACUUCUAACCAACUCCUAAUGCUUCUUUAAGAAGCAACCUCCAAACUAAUCCUAUUCUUAGCCGGCCUCUUCACCUCUUUAAUAGGGAUUGGCUAGGUAGGUUUUACAUGAAUGCCCCUUUCAAUGAAACUCAAUUAGGACUCUCUUAGCUAAAGUCCUAACAACUUCUUCUUCCCUUGCUGCAACCAGGCCGCAACCAGGUUGUCCCUCGAUGCUUCUUCUUCCCUCGCCGCAGUCAGGCUGAUACCACCCGGUAAUGGGCAGUCUGUGUACCGAUCUGCUAGCGAACUGGUACGUACUGCUCAGUACGAGCGAUAUCAUUCGAAAUUAAAAUCCUUGGUUUCGACUAAAUACCAAUUCAAAUUUACCCAUAAUGACCUCAAUCAAGACUUCGAUAAAUCAACUACACAUACAACACAUUUACGAAGCUUUCAACACAUUAUACACUAUUC